UACGGGAGGCAGCAGUGGGGAAUCUUGCACAAUGGAGGAAACUCUGAUGCAGCGAUGCCGCGUGAGUGAAGAAGGCCCUUGGGUUGUAAAGCUCUUUCGUCGGGGAAGAAAAUGACUGUACCCGAAUAAGA
rnacentral:rRNA from 1 species